UCCAAGUGCGCGAUACGCUCGAUCCGGCACGCGUAAAAUUCCGAUCUGGGCAAAUCUACGACAGAAUUAAUAAAUUUUGGGGUAAUAGAAAGAAAAGAAAGCCCUAUGGAGUUGAUACAGUUAUUGUAGAAGACGGUUAAUGAUAGAAAUGACGAUGUAAAUAUAAAGGUAGAUUUCCGCAAUUGUAUUCCAGUUGGGUUGUAAAUGAAUAAUAAAAGUCCAUCUUAAAUAUAUGAACUGCUGUAUUUUGGAUACAUAUGUGAAAUAAGUAAAUGGGCCUGAAUCCAUAA